UGAGAUUACAGAUGUGAGCCAUCGCGCCCAGACAGAAGUUAUCAUUUAUUUAUUUUUGCUCAUCUUCCUCUACUAGAAUGGAAACUCCACUGAGAGCAAGGAUCCCAUUUAUUCUUUAUUUCCGUAUCCCCGGUGUCUUUGAAAGUGCCUGGUACGUACUGGCACAACGUUUCUGAAAUGAAUGAGUAGAUAUGGCUCUACUGGUGUCCUGUGACCCGCGUAACCAAGUGCCAAGAGCUGGGUGGCUCGCAACAACAGAACCCGCUCUCACCGUCCUGGAGGCCAGGUGUCUGACAUCGAGGUGUCAGCAGGGCCCUGCUCCCUCCAAAGGCUCCUGGGGAGGCUCCUUCCCGGCCUCCUCCAGCGUCUGGGGGUUGCUGGCAAUCUUUGGCACUCCUUGGCACUCCUUGGCUUGUGGACGCUUCACUCCAAUCUCCGUCUCCGUUUCUGCCCAGAACUCCCUUGUGAGUCCGUGUCUUUGCUUUCUCAGGAGAAUUGCUCAUUCCAGCCGCAGUUCUUCCAGGGGGCGGUCUGUGCGCGUGAACUGCCUGAGCGGGGAACCCAGCCAGAUCAUGAACUGCCCAGGCCCCAGCUCCCGGCUUGAUUUGCUGCAGUUUUCCUAAUUGGAAGAGAAACGGGAUCCUGGAACAGAAAAGGACUUAAGGUGAAAACUGAGGAGAUCUGAGCCAACAGUGGACCUGAAGAAUGACUGUCAGUCCAUUCAUCGGAACAAAUGGGCCGGACUCAUGCCCCAUGUUAAUAAUGGAGGAACCUGGAUGUGGGGUUUAUGGGAACUCCCUGUACUAUCUUCUCAAUUUUUC
rnacentral:lncRNA from 1 species